UGUCCAAGACGUUUGCGCAGACAAAAUUGUAACGCUCUGCGCAACUAUUAUGUACGGAGCACGGAGAACGGAAGACAAUCUCCUCUCCACCGCGUGCCAUGGCCACAGUGUCGAUUGCGGCGUAUUAUUCGCGACUUAACCAAGUGCACUCGUUACAAGUCCUCCCUCAUCGUACAAUGUAGAAUUAUUAAAAAUAUCCUACAUCCAUUAUUAUGCUCAUUUAAUUUUUAAUUUCGCACAAUAUCCUUCCAUAUUGUCCACUUAUCAAUUUAAGCUUCGGCUCAGCAGUACAUGGUACAUAAUUAAUACUAUUGCAAAAUUGCCAUAUGGUUUAAUUUAAUAUCAUGCUAAUUUGUCGUAUUUGACUUAACUUGUCGAAAAAAGAUACGUAAGUGUCUCGUGAUUAUCAGCCUUUUUUUUUAUCAGACUCUAACAAUUAGCAAGUAGUUGGAUCUCACCUUGCUAAUUUUCAAUUGUACGUAGGUGUCGAUUCGUCAUUAUCAUUACACAGCUCAUACUAGCUACAUAUCAAUCAUACAGAGAUGGAAGAAACCCAUUAGAUUAAUAUACAUGUAUUAUGUACAUACGUAUGUAUGUAAUGUAACACUAUAAACCGUGAGAACGAGAGCACUUUACCUCGGUUAUUUUUUAGCUCUUUUUUUCUUUUUUAUUUUACAGACUAUUUAUCUCUCUGGUUCGCUCGCUCGCUCCUAUUCGUCCUCGUAGCUAAUGCAUCAACACACACGCCUGCAGAGUAUUACGCAACGAGAGCCCGUGGUUGAGGAAGUAGAGCUCACACAAGUCUUGAUGAGCGAAAACAUAGAUCGCGACAUUAAUUUUUAGCUACGGUACGCUGAUAAAGAACCAAAGAAGUUAAGCUAAAACAUACAUACAUACAUGCAUAAAUUAUUUAAUAAAAAAAAAAAAAAAAAAAAAAGUUACCAUACAUUUUAAAUAAAAUUAAAGAGCAUGUUCCAUUACCUAGAGGACUAAAUGUUUUAGUUUUAGUUUUUUGAUUUACAACAAACACAUGUUUAAAUGUAUAUGUUUAUAUAUCCACCUAUAUAAGUGUUGGCUAGUGCAUUCAGUACAUACGUACAGUUGGUUGUGUACAUAUCCCCCUGAUUGGUGUGUAUGCGUUUGUACAGAGUGCUAUAUAUACAGCGUAGCUUGGCAACAAGCAGUCAGCCAGUUGCGGGGCAAGGUCGACCCUCUCCCCCCUGGCUAUUUUAUCCCGGCAUAUAUUUAUUACGAAACCGCGUACAUGUUUAUGUACAUGUAGACUACAUGCCUGUCCCUGUCUCUUGAUUUAAUCUCUUCUCUCUCUUUAUUUUUUUUCUGUACACUUCUCUCAAAGUGGCGGCUACGUCAUGGCCGCAUUCUGGACUUGACUACAAAUUUAAAUUAACAUUAUAAAUCAGAUACAUUGAAUAGAAGUUAACACAAUAUCGUAUUAUAUGAUCAUGUACAUACAAUUUAAUGUAAUGUAAUAAGUUGACGGAAGAUUCGUAAGAGCUUGACGCGAACCCGUCCUGUUCUGAUAUUAUAUGAUGUUGGAGCACCACAUCGAGCAGAACAACCGCAACUUUACUGUAUAGCAGUACAGUAUAAUAUGUAUAGCAUACAUCAUCCAGCUCUAUGCUAGUACUAGGCCCCGAGGGCUACACCACUAAAAGUGAUGAAGAGGAAGAGAAAACGAUUUUGCGAGAUGACCACAAGCAAAGAAAACUAAACGCAAGCAGUGUGACCACAUUCCAGAGACACUCCCACAGAGUAUGCUCUUAAAGUCUUAAGUAUAUCGGAUACUGUGCAAAAUAAUCGCAAGUUUAUUCUAAUUCGAAUAUAAUAAUUAGAAUAUCAAGCCGGUACCAACUUCUAUAAAUUUAUUAGUAUAGUUGUUUUUUUUUAUAAUUUAAUUUUUUUUAAUAUAAUUAUCAACCUGAAAAAAUUAAAGAUUGUUAAUUAAAUGAGAAUUUUAAUUAAUAAAAUAAUAUUUACAGUUAUUGGAGCGGCGAUCUAAGAUACCGUUCAAUAAUUUUUGUUUCUCAUUAAAUGUAUAUGUUAUAUUUAAUAUGAUAUAUUAUGUAUAUGUGUAUUUAAUAUAUAUUAUUUCACAAACAUAUAUAACGUUAAGUGUAUUUAAGUUAUCUAGUUACUUGUGGCGUAUCCAUUUUUGGCAUCGCCACAGAUUGCCGUUACGAUUUUUUGGGCGACUCACAUUACAAUUAAAUAAAUAAAUAUGAUGUUGAUAAUAUUAUUUAUAAAUAAUAAUAACAAAAUAUAAAUAACUGAACCACUGGCUUGUAAAAUAGUCGAGCAAUAAAAAAAACAAGUUUAUAAAAUAAAAAAAAAAAUUGAUAAAAAAUAAAUAACUCGGCUGGCAAUAUGGCAGCUGUAAGGCUCGGUAUUAGAAUUAUACCGUGUAAUCGAUUUUGAAAUAAUGAUAAAUUGUGGUAAAAUUAUUUUUUUCCUUCAAAUAAUUAUUGGGAUUAAUAUUUGAAUAUGAUGAAUAAAUAACUUGAAAUAAUGUCAUUUUUAGUGUAGUUUCCAAUUUUUGAGGCGCGCUAAGCGUACAUACUUAGGUUAUAUUUAUAUUUUUUUCACAUAAGAGGCACCUAGUGAAGAAUGUCGAGCUAAAUUAAUCGUUAGAUACUCAUUUUUUUAAAAAUAAUCACUCACCUAUGCUAAUGUAUCGAAGAUUGUUCACAAAAGAGAAAAUUUUCACUAUCACACAAUAAUUAAACUUUAAAAUACGCUGAAAAACACAUUUACGUUCUAACCAUGGAAUUUUAUUGUAAA